rnacentral:rRNA from 1 species
CAGUCGCCGCGGUAAUACGUAGGGCGCAAGCGUUGUCCGGAAUUAUUGGGCGUAAAGAGCUCGUAGGCGGUCUGUCGCGUCUGGUGUGAAAUCCCGAGGCUCAACCUCGGGCUUGCAUCGGGUACGGGCAGACUAGAGUGCGGUAGGGGAGACUGGAAUUCCUGGUGUAGCGGUGGAAUGCGCAGAUAUCAGGAGGAACACCGAUGGCGAAGGCAGGUCUCUGGGCCGCAACUGACGCUGAGGAGCGAAAGCAUGGGGAGCGAACAGGAUUAGAUACCCCAGUAGUCCCUGUCUCUUAUAA